rnacentral:rRNA from 1 species
UAUUGGACAAUUGGCGAAAGCCUGAUCCAGCAAUGCCGCGUGAGUGAUGAAGGCCUUAUGGUUGUAAAGCUCUUUUACCAGGGAUGAUAAUGACAGUACCUGGAGAAUAAGCUCCGGCUAACUCCGUGCCAGCAGCCGCGGUAAUACGGAGGGAGCUAGCGUUGUUCGGAAUUACUGGGCGUAAAGCGCACGUAGGCGGCUUUGUAGGUUAGAGGUGAAAGCCUGGAGCUCAACUCCAGAAUUGCCUUUGAUACUGCAUCGCUUGAAUCCAGGAGAGGUGAGUGGAAUUCCGAGUGUAGAGGUGAAAUUCGUAGAUAUUCGGAAGCAACACCAGUGGCGAAGGCGGCUCACUGGACUGGUAUUGACGCUGAGGUGCGAAA